rnacentral:rRNA from 1 species
UACGGGGGGGGCAAGCGUUGUUCGGAAUUACUGGGCGUAAAGGGCUCGUAGGUGGCCAACUAAGUCAGACGUGAAAUCCCUCGGCUUAACCGGGGAACUGCGUCUGAUACUGGAUGGCUUGAGUUCGGGAGAGGGAUGCGGGAAUUCCAGGUGUAGCGGUGAAAUGCGUAGAUAUCUGGAGGAACACCGGUGGCGAAGGCGGCAUCCUGGACCGACACUGACACUGAGGAGCGAAAGCCAGGGGAGCAAACGGG